UCUCCCCCCUCUUCCCCUCCUCCAUUCCCCGCUCCCCCCCGCGUCCCAAACUGCGCACAAUAGCGCGCCGGCUCCUCUAUCUAUUUUGUGUCCAGCUGGAGCCGCGCACGAUGAUUCAUUGCCCCAAUUAGGGGCUCUCUCCAGCGCGCCGGGCUCAAGCCGUCUGAAGGGUCUCCUCGGGGACCGCCGAAACCCAUCAGCGGCUAGAGCUGGUCUUUAAGUAAAGGUCAAGCAGGACGCGGGAGGAGCCAGGUGAGGAAACUAAAGCAGAGAGGUUAAGCUAUUUGCCCAAGAUCACACAGCUACUAAUGGAAGGAGCUGAUAUCGCAACUCAGACUGCUGUGGACCCGGAGCCUGCACUCUGAAUGGUGCACUACUUUGCCUACAGACUUCGGACUUCAGACCAAAAUCCAGCCCCCCUCCUCCCCGCAUCACAGUGUCUUCUCUGCAUGGCCCCAGUUUUUGGCCAGGGCUGGGUUUGAACCCGCCACCUCCGGCAUAUGGGGCCUGCGCCCUACUCCUUUGAGCCACAGGCGCCGCCCUUUUGUGUGUGUGUUCCCAUUUCUCUUGGUUAAACAUCUAGAAGUGGAAUUCCUGGGUCAUAGGGCAGGUGUUGACCUUGGGUGAGUAGCCGGUUCAGCCUCAGUUUCCUUAUCUUUAAAAUAGGGUUCAAAAAAGUAGCAACAAUCCGGAUGCCCAUCAGUAAAUGAAGGGAUCAACAAAAUGUGGUGUGGUCAAACAGGGCAUUAUUUGGCCAUGAAAAGCCCAACUAUAACCCCUGAAAACAUUGCGCUAAGGGUCAGAAGCAGAGACAUAUCGUCAGGUCCCAUUUUAUAUGAAUCAUCCAGAAUAGCCAAUCUAUAGAGACGGGCGGCAGAUGGGUGGCUGUUUAGGGAUGGGGAGGGGCUGGAGGGAUGACCACUCCUGGGGACAGGGUUUCCUUGUGGGGUGAUGGAAGUGUUCUGGAAUUAGGUGGAGAUGACAGUUGUACAAUCUCGUGGACGUACUAAAUGCCACUGAAUUGUACACUGUAAAACGGUCAAAGCAGUGAAUUUCAUGUUAUGUGAUCUUUGCCUCAAUUUUUAGAAGGGGGGAAUGUAAUCUGAUAAUAAACCUUCUCCAGGGACUUGCUGACAAGGGAGGUGCCUCAAGUCAGCACCUGGCACAGAGCUAGGCAGACAGUCCCAGAACAGCAGCUUCAGGUAUUUGGGGCAUCAGCGCCCACCCAACCCUGUGCCUGGCACGCCUAGCACCCAGCCUGCACACGGCAGGCUUUCAGCGUGCCCUUGUUCAUCAUGAGUGUUUAGCUUUACGGUUGUGAUUCCUCAGCGCCCCGGGCAGAGGCUGCCAGGAAAAAGCAGUAAUGAGACUGUCUGCUGCCUGACUCUGACCUUCAUGUUCAUUAUCUUCAAGAAAUCUGCACAAGAGCCUAUCAGAUGGGAAUCUUUCAAAAUGCAUUACUACUAAUCUCCCAGUGUUUACGGAGAAGGAAACCAAGAGAGGUUCAGGAAGCUGCCCAAGGUCAGCAUCAGCGAAGCCCGGCCAACUCUGAGCCACAGGGCCAGGUAAGCAACGAGGUCAGCAGCCUGAGUCCCGCACACAGCACUACCUCCAUGUGGGGGGAGGCCUGCCCCCCUGUCUCUGCAGAUGGAAGUCCUCUGCCCUAGGCACGGGCUGGAUCUUCAUAGAGCUGAGAAGGUAGCAGGAGUGUGGAGUGACUGUGUCCCUGUGAGUCUGCCCCAGAAGAGAGUCUGGGCUCAAGCAGAGGUCAGGAUGUGACCUGCCUGGGGUCCUCAGCCCUGUGGAGUCCAGGCCAGCAGUGAUUUCCCAGAGGUACUGACUUAGAAGGAAAGAGAAGGUAAAGAAAAGCAGGAAAAAGUAGGCCACAGAAGCCCACUAUGGCUGCCUGAGCCAGCCUCUGUCCCCAGGCAGCCACAAAGCCUCUUCUGGGGCCUUGGCCCGCACCCUCUCGUGCUUAGAUCUCAGGGGCCAUGGUGCUCCUCAUCCUCAUUCCUGGAAUUCUGCUACACCUACCUUGCUGGCACCUCCCCCAGGCCACAGUGCCACUUCCUGCCCCAGUGGCAAACCUUCUCCCAGAGGUCGCCCCCACCCUUCCAUUCCCACCUCCCAAACCCAACCCCCAAAUUUCUUCCCCCAAUGAACCCAUUGGCACUGCCCCAUCUGGCUCUCCAAAACUGCAGCUCACUCACAUCACUCCCCUGCUCUCAAAUUGUCUAUUGCUCCCUAGUGCUCCAGAGAGGCAGUUUGAAGACUGGCUAAAAGCAGAGAAUCUGGAACAGGAUAUCCGGGUUUGAAUAUCCUAACCAUCUAUAAGUGGUUAUCCUAACCAUCUAUAAGUGAUCUUGGGCAAGGCGCUCCACUAUUCCGUCUGUGAAAUGGGAUGAAGAUCAGCAGCCCCUACCACACCAAGUUACUGGUGUGGUGAAUGAGUUCAGGGGUGUAGUGUCCACAACAAUGCCAGCUGGUCAUUGCAGUAAGUACUGAGGAUAGAGCCAGUUCAGCUUCUUGGUCUGGCCCUGGGUGUAGCAUCCAUGGUCCACCCCAGACAAAAGGCGCAGCCCCAUCUGGCUGUCCCAUCGCUAGGGUGCUGCCCUCCUACUUCUCCAUGGCGUGUGGUCCAAAGUACCCCAGCCCAGACCGUCUGGGCUCCAGCAUGGCCUCCGUCCACGGUGUCCACCCAGUGCUUACAGAAGAGUGCACACAGAGCCCACCAAGCCCGCCAGGGGAGGCAGCCAACCUCUACUUGGGCUAUCCCCUGAAGGAGCAGCCUUGGGCAGGAGGCCACUGCCCCUCCCAGAGCAGGAUGCAGGCUGCUCAGUGGCGUUAAAGGACCUUCACCGCUGGGGCUGGGGCUGGGGCAGGGCCCAGCUCCACCCCUUCAGCUUUAUUCCCACCCAGGGCAGGGAUCCCCAGCUCCACCUCUGCCUCCAGCUAAUGCUGCUUCACAACAAGUUGUCAUUCAUCCAACACCUUCAUUAAGUGCCUACUGAGUAGGAAGACCUACUCACAGUUAGGUCUUGUGUCUCUGUGCUGCCAUCCUGGCUGUUCAGGACACGCUGCUUUCUUGCCUGGAGAGGUGGUUUUGGAUGCAUUGUCUCACCCGGCUCCCCCAGGCUGUGUGGGCUGCUUCCGUGGUCAGUUACCACCACAGGGUCAGCACCUACUGUGUGCCAGGCACCAUGGCUCGUAGAUUGUGACUGCCAACCCAGGACGCCCCCUCUAGAGAGUCAGGGGCCCCACCUGCAGAAAGUGAAGCUCAGAGGGACAGAGCGAGCUGCCCCCCCGGGCACAAGGCUGGCCAGUGGCUGACCCAGGGCUUCUCAUUCCAAAGCUGGGACUUCCAUGGCUCCACACAUGUCUGUCCCUGCUGAGUGUAACAGAUGUGUUCUGCCAGGUGAUUAUCCAUGGCUCCUUUUGGCAGCAGCUCAGUCCCCUUUACCCUGACCCUGGGGUCUUGAAUUCCCAGCUCAAAAAGGCUGACCUUCACAUUGUCACCUACAUAAUGACCCCCAAAGGUGUCCUAAUCCCUGAAACCCAUGAAUAUGUCAACUUCAAUGUCAGAUAGUCAGUGCAGGCCUGACUCAGUUAAGGAAGGACCAUGAUAUGGGGGGGCAUCCUGGAUCACCUGGGCAGUAGAAUCCCCCUUGGACGGGGGAGACAGGAGGGUCAGAGCCAGAGAGAGAGGAAGAUGCUCUGCUGCCAGAUUUGGAGAAGGCGAAAGGGGCUGUGAGCCAAGGAAUGGAGGAGCCUCUAGACUCCGGAAAAGGCAGGAAGCAGGUUCUCCCUGGAGCCUUCUGAAAGACCAGCCCUGCUGACUCUAACCCGCUAAGACCCACAUCAGACUCCUGCGAGGCCGAUCUGUAAGGGGUCCGGGCUACGUCCUCCUCCCCUGCUGCCCAGGAAGACUCUGGAGGUGUCCACUGUCCCCUCUUCUGCUCCCAGGCCUCACCCAGCACUGGUGGCUCAGACAAGCAGGGGUGGCCUUCCUCUCAUGGACACAGAGCCACACGCCCCCUUAGCCAAGCCCCAUGGCUGGGGGUUGGCCUUUCCCACGGCCCCUGAAGCCCCGGAGCUCUGCCCUCCCCACCCCCUUGCUGCCCUCCAGGGGAGCUGCCACUUGUAGCCCCUUAGCAGAAUGUCUCCCUGGGGGCUACCCAUCCUGCUACAGAGCCGCCUCUGUCUUGUUUUCAGGGCCCAGUGUCCUUCCUGAAUGCCUACAUUUCACCCAUUUCUUGGCUUUUUUUUUUCCUUUCCUAGAAACAUCCUUUUUUAUUUUUUUUUUCCAAGACAGAGUCUAACUCUGUCCCCAGGCUAGAGUACAGUGGCAUCAGCAUAGCUCAUAGCAACUUCAAACUCCUGGGCUCAAGUGAUCCUCCUGCCUCAGCCUCCCAAGUAGCUGGGACUAUAGGUGCCACCACAACACCUGGCUACUUUUUCUAUUUUUAGUAGAGACGGGGGUCUCUCUCUCUCAGGCUGGUCUUGAACUCCUGAGCUCAAGAGAACCAUCUGCCUCAGCCUCCCAGAGUGCUUGGAUUAUAGGCGUGAGCCACUGUGACCAGCCUUUUUCAAGAACCUUCUCUAGAAUCUUCUUGAGGGCAACGUGGUGCCUACACCACUCCCAGGGCCUGGUUUAGGGCAGAGGACCCACACCCUCACAGAUGGGUAAAGGCAGCUGUUGUGCAAAGAUGUUCCAGACCAGCAAUGUGACCUUCCUGGGCUGGCUGUUUUCCUCUGCAAUGUGGCAACCCAACAGUGGCUGCCUCGAGGACCAGCAAGGGCAGACGAGACGGCUGGUGGGCCCAGGCCCACAUAGCAAGAGCCCGGCUAACAGCAGCUCUCAUUUUCUUUGAUGUCCAUCAGUCACUGAGACGUCCUAUUGGCCCAGAGGCUGGGGAGGUUGUUAAUUUUUAAAAUGUUUUCCCUGGCCAUGGAAAGGAAAGCCCCCAAUGCCCUUGCUCCUUCCAACAGGGCAGAGGGGGCACAGGGGACCUACACACAUGUGGUACGGCAGAACCAUGCUGCAGGUGAGGCCACAGAGCCCCAAAGGCGGGAUGCCCCUUACUUGGGGGCACACAGCCAAUGUGUCACAGAUUCCGACUUCCAACCUGCUCUGAUUUCACCGUGGUCAGCCAGAAGGUGAGCAGGACACAGAGACACCUUGUGGGUGGCCAGGAUACUGGAUCAGUCUGCUGCAGUUACACCCCGCAGGUCUCCUGCCCUAACUAGAAUCUGCCUGUCGACUUGUACAAAGAGUCCUGGGCCAGCCAGGAAUAGGGACCAGAGCAGGUGAUCUAUGCAGUAAGGCAGAGGAACCGAAAAGGCUCAGGGCACCACAAUGACUUCCUCCAGAUGCCCAAGGUCCCCACCCAGCAAGCCUCUCAUCAGAAUGAUCAGGGUCUGGAUUGGAGCCAGGCCACAGGGAAGGCGUAUCGGCUUAGGAAGUUCGGUGACAGGAAAUGCUGUGUGGCCUUGGCAGAGUUUGGAGGCAGCAGCUUUUGGCAGGGCCUGGGUUACCGUGGGGGCUGGGUAGGUUUUGGGGGUACUGGGGAGGACCCUUCAUCCCUGACCAGGAAAAACAGCAGCCGUGACUUCUCUGUCCCUCCCCCACCCCGCCCUGACACCCCUUACUGAGCCUCUCUGUCUACUGGGUGGACACUAUUUGUAUAAAUGAAAUUCCGUUUUGGCCUGUGCGUGUCCCUGCCUCAGCCAAGAGCUGGUUUGAGGCUGAGAGUGACAAAAUUUGGCUGUCACAGGAGAGGGUGGAGGUGGGAGUGGAGGUGACCUUGGGCAGCACAUCCCCCCUCCACAUCCUCAGCGCAAAGAGUCAUGCCCCAGGACUGUAGGGGAGGGGGGGGAAAAGUGCUGUCUUGACUAGGAGCGGGACACAGCCCCAACCAAGGUCCUUGAUGUCCUGGUUUUGCCUGAGCUGCCCCAAGUGUCAGAGUGACCCAGACCACCACCAGGCAGAGCCCAGCUUGGGCCUGCCCCAGCAGAGGAUGCUGGAGAAAGCUGAACCAUAGGCCAUGCUAGGCAGCAAGAGACCCUGAAGUCCCCAGGCAGACAGCAUCCACUUCUUUUAAGACCUCUCCCCAAGGCCCCAUUUGGCUGAGCAGACAACCCUCCUAUUGCCUCCAGGGCCUGAGCCUGGCCAGGCAGCCUGCUACCCCCAGGAAGAAUUUUCACAAAGCCCUGGCCAGCCCUGGGCCAGCAUUACAAUGCACCACUUCUGCCUGCUGAGGGCUUCCCAGACCCAGGAAACAGGUGCUUGUGGCUCUGUGAUUUCCAAAGGGACUUGGUCCUCCAGGAGUGCCAUGGCCUUGAGCAGUGGUGGCUGGGCAGGGAAGAGAAAGGCAGCCAGCCCUGGGGAGGGACCUUCCUGAAACCCACUUUCAUGGCAGGCUCACAUACCUGCCAUGGCUCCCUAUUGCCCUAAGGACCCAGAACACAUAAAGAAUGC